ACAGGCAAAACAAAGACGGUCGCGAC
rnacentral:sRNA from 1 species